GUGGGGAAUAUUGGACAAUGGGCGCAAGCCUGAUCCAGCCAUGCCGCGUGAGUGAUGAAGGCCUUAGGGUUGUAAAGCUCUUUCGCCGGGGACGAUGAUGACGGUACCCGGAGAAGAAGCCCCGGCUAACUUCGUGCCAGCAGCCGCGGUAAUACGAAGGGGGCUAGCGUUGUUCGGAAUUACUGGGCGUAAAGCGCGCGUAGGCGGUCAGCCAAGUCAGGGGUGAAAGCCCGGGGCUCAACCUCGGAACUGCCCUUGAGACUGGUUGACUUGAGUAUGGAAGAGGGUCGUGGAAUUCCCAGUGUAGAGGUGAAAUUCGUAGAUAUUGGGAAGAACACCAGUGGCGAAGGCGGCGACCUGGUCCAUUACUGACGCUGAGGUGCGACAGCGUGGGGAGCAAACAGGAUUAGAAACCCUGGUAGUCC
rnacentral:rRNA from 1 species